CAAAAAACUACUUAGACAGACUAUGAAGAGAUACAUAGGGUGAGAAACGGAGGCCUUCAGCCAACAGCUGGGAGAAGCUGAGUCCCAUCAGCCAUUCAAAAGACUGCAGCCCCAGCCAAGAGUUUGAUGUAACCUCAGGAGAGACCCUGAGCCAGAACCACCUAGGCCAACGAGCUAUACCUAGUGAUUCCAAAGUCCACAUAUAUUUACUCUGUUCUCACUGUACAAAGUAACCACUCUGAAGUCAAAAAAGCUGGGAUACAUGAAGACUGCCAUCCCUUGAGUCACUUGCCCUGUAGCUGCCACUGUUGGAAAAGGGCUUGCUUCUGUGUCCUUGUGCCCACUUUGAAAAUCCCUGGGAAGUCCUUGGAGUCAGAUGAGCAGGCCUCCGCCACUCUGCCAAAAAGUCUGUUCAAUCAGGAGUCCCCAACCCCUGAGCCAUGGACUGAUAUGGAGCUAUGGUCUGUUAGGAACUGGGCUGCCCAGGAGGAGGAAGUUUCACAUCACUAGAGAAGAGAGAAGAAGGACAUUUGUACUGGGAGGAGUCGACCGGUCCCAGUAAGGAGAAAGUAGCUACAGCGUCAUGGGUGAGCUGGGUCCCCCAAAAAGGAACUUUAAGGGAAUGGACUGAAUCAAGUCUGAGAUGUCCCCAAAGCAAGACCAAAGAACUGAGGAAGAGAAGCAUUCAUCAGAAACCAAAAUUCAGCUACAAGUGAGCAUCCAGAUGGAGGUAUUAUGAAGAGGAACUGAGACUGAGGGCAAAAGGUGCCAGCCAGAAUCCUGGAUAGGAGAGCAAGAACCAGGACCUCAUUUAAGAGACAACCUGCUUAAGGCAGAGUAAGGUGAGAUUGGAUUCACGCAAAGACCUGGAAUUCAAGUAGGUUAAUGAACAGACAGUGUGUGCCUAUACCACGAAUUUACAAUAAUAAUAAGGGUGCUAAUAAUCACAUGGAAUUGUAGAGUAUAAUGAAAAUAUACACACUGGAGAGAAAUUGCACGGGUUGGCAUCUCAGCUUUGUCAUUUACUAUAACAGUGACCUUGGGCAAGUUAUUUAACCACUCUCUGCCUCAAUUUCCUGAUCAGUAAAAUGAGCUAAUAAUACUUUCUUUUUAUUUUGAGAUGGAGUCUCACUCUUUCACUGAGGCUGGAGUGCAGUGGUGCGAUCUCGGCUCACUGCAGCCUCCACCUCCCAGGUUCAAGCGAUUCUCCUGCCUCAGCCUCCCCAGUAACCAGGAUUACAAACAUGCACCACCAUACCCAGCUAACAUAAAUAUGAAUAUAUUAUAUAUAUAUUUGUACUUUUAGUAGAGAUGAGGUUUCACCAUGUUGGCCAGGCUGGUCUUGAAUUCCUGACCUCAAGUGAUCUGCCUGCCUCGGUCUCCCAAAGUGCUGAGAUUACAGGCAUAAACCACCAGGCUUGCACUAUUGAUAAUUAUUAUAGCAUAAAGUUUUUCUGAGGACUAAAUGGGGCAAAAUACGUAAAACACUAAUUAUAAUUAUUGGCAAAUCCCAUAAUGCUUGUUGUUAUUAGUAUACUUAGAAUUAUUUUAACAUUAAAAACUGAAAACUGAAGCUCUGAGAGUCUGUGUGACUUUGAGGAUUAAAGAACUGAAAAAUGGUAGAAGUAGAAUUUGAACUAAGAAAGUACGGUUAUUGAAUGCAUGGAUUUAAUCCCUAUUAAAUACUUUAUCUUCCAAAAUCUAUGACUCUUUAGUCUUCUUUGUUAACAAAACCUACUUUACGAAAU
rnacentral:lncRNA from 1 species